UACGGGGGGGGGCAAGCGUUGUUCGGAAUUACUGGGCGUAAAGGGCUCGUAGGUGGCCAACUAAGUCAGACGUGAAAUCCCUCGGCUUAACCGGGGAACUGCGUCUGAUACUGGAUGGCUUGAGUUUGGGAGAGGGACGCGGAACUCCAGGUGUAGCGGUGAAAUGCGUAGAUAUCUGGAGGAACACCGGUGGCGAAGGCGGCGUCCUGGACCAAUACUGAUACUGAUGAGCGAAAGCCAGGGGAGCAAACGGG
rnacentral:rRNA from 1 species